GACAACCCCGCCCCGCAGCUCUAGCAUUGCAGGAUGGUCCCCGAGUUCUGCAAGUACGAUGGGUCAUGGUGCACAAACACAACCUUCACUUGCUUCUCAACAACGACAAGUUCUUCCCUAAGACGAGAGCUCACGGAAUCCAGACCCACCCGGAGCACAUUUCUGAGCAAGAAUUCUGUGAAGUGUUUGUGUGAGGCAGUGAGGACUGGCAGACGAGCAGUGGUGACAAGAAGACGUGAUACCAGAUUACCCCCUCAGCUAUCGGAACCCGGAAGGAGAAAGCCACGCAGAGAGGCCACUUUGGAAAGAACAGUGAGCUUUGCUGGUGCGGAUGCAGAUGACUCCCUGUGUGGAGCCAGAAGCCAUGAGUUGAAGCUUAUGAAACUACGAAUCUAAAAGAGCCUGAGUCCCUGAAUCACUGCGUGCAGGACAGCCACCCACUGGCAUCAAUGCAUUAGUUAGCUGUAUCUCAGUAUGAGUCUCCAGGAUGAGACCCAGAAAUAAGGAUGCUUCUGAAAGGACCACUCGGAUCCCCUCUGGCCCGGCGUCUGAUUGAUUGGCAGCCCCAAGGCCCGCCCCUCUGCCUCCGGCUCCUAGUCAGUGGGGACGCCGCCCUUCUCACCAGGUAGAGGACACUGUGGCUUCCUACAAAGGCCCUUUCCUAUGUGGCCCGAGACUCCUCAGCUGAGUGACUUUGGCUCAUGGACUUCCCAUCCAUGCACCUGGUCAGAGCUGCAGACCCAGAAUCUUCCCAGCCAGCCCUCCUUCCUUCCCCUCUCCUUCCCAGGGGCAGGUCUGCAUCUCCAUCCGAAGACUGCCUGCCUGCUCCCGCUCCUCCUCUUUUUCCAAUACAAGCGUUUCUCCCCCAAAAGUUGCUUGCUCAUUGUGAACCUGUCUGAAUUUUUGCUUCUCUAGGAGGAUCCACACUCGGAGGCCACCGGAGACAGACUGGGGAGGAGAGACAGGGAAGGAAGGAAAGCUGAUGGAGGGUACUAGCACGGCUACCACUGUGGUCCAGCAGAGGCUCAGCCCUGCCUGGAACCUUCUGAGAAAACUAGCAGCUCACCUGAGAAUUCUGUUGCCGAGGGGCAGGACACCCGGAGUAGUCACUCACAACUGCUUCUUCCCCUGCCUGAGGGUUACUCCAGGGCGUUAACCUUCUUGCAGGCAGCAUGCCCUGAUGCCUGCCUUGCCUCUCCAGGCGGCUGGGAUUGGGCCCGGCGGUCCAUUCCAGAGCCCAAGCUCUUCACCCCUAAGCUAUGCGCCCCAACGUAGCACAACAGUUGAACGAUUGAGUUUGAAACCAACAUGGUGUCCAAAGGGUACUUUUACUUGGUCACAAAUUAGAAAGAGUUUGGCGGGAGACAUCUUUCCUACCGCGAUAUUUCAUGUUGGCAGCACGGAAAAUCUAUCCAGCUAGCUGUUACAAGACCAUGGCUGCCUGCUAGCUGUGUGACCUUGCAGACGUGACUUAACCCCACUGUGCUUCGAUUUCUUCAUAGAUCCAGAGCAGGUAACAGUCCAUCUUGCUGACCCCACAGAACGGUUUUGAGGACCUUUGGCAAGCAUGUAUUUGAAGGAACUUUGUAAACUGUAAAGCGCUAUCCAAGAGGAAUAGAUUACGCUCCUGGAAUAACCUUGAACUUUUUCCCUACUUCCCUGCUUUGUUCUGUUUCUGAAACAAACACAUACAUUGUCCCGUCUGUCCUUCCCCCACGCCCACCCCCACUCUGUUCUAGGAGCUUCCUCUGAUUACAAAGCAGGUUUCACAAUCUCACCAGUACAGGGUGUUUCAUUCCAUCCCAACAGAGCUUAGAUAACACAGAUUUAAGAGUUUGUAAUUCAUCCUUCAUCGAUCAAUGUUCUUGACUAUUACACGUUUGCCUGAAUCUGGUCCCAUUCAGUCCUAGCACCAGAGGCUUAAGAGCAAUGAAUGCUUUCACAUCUCUCUCCUGUCAGCUAGGCAGCUUUUUCUUAACCCUCUCUUCCUGAGGUGGUCUCUAAGUCUUAUUGGGUUUUUCGCCUCUUUGAGACUCUCAUGAAGGCUAAGGCCUCUCUCCUCAGGAAAAAAAAAUAAAAAUCAAACACAUAAGCCUAUAUACACACGUAUACACACCCAAGCACAGAGACAGGAGCACGCGUGCGUGCACACACGCACACAAAUUAGGUACAAUUUUUCGGGGAUUCACAGCCGCUCUGAAACCCAAGGGCUAUGGGUGCAGGUCUGAGGUAAAGCAUUUGCUCUCUGAUGUCAACUAGAUCGAGUUUUAAAUACUGGCUGUUAAGUAACUUAACAAUGAUGGCGGCCCACAGGAACAGCUGCCUGUAUCAUGAAAGUUAACACACCAUCUCCAGAAACAGUACACAGUCCCAGGGAAUAUUCAAGAAAAAGGCUGGGCAGCUGAAAACAACUUCAGUUUUCUAGAGGGAAGAGGUUUAUGUUCAGCCUCGGAAGAGGCUGGUGUUGGUUCUCCCUCUGCUGGCCCGUGGUUAACACGCAUGCUGUGUUUUGACUCCAGUGAGUGUUGGAGUCCUUGGGAAGGCAGUGCGGACAGAGGUGGAAAAUGGGGGCUUAGGGGGCCAUGGGUUACUUCUGAGCCUGGGAACAUACUGGAAACGCUAAAGACAGGGACGUGUGUCUCUCCCUUUGUUCCUCUCCCUUUGCUUUUUUAAGCCCUAACUAUUGUAUUUGCUGAGCAAAUCCCUUCUGGGUAUCUGCUCUGGGGAGAUGGCGUGAUCCCACGUGAAUAAGAUAGAGCCCUGCCCACAAAUGCUGGGUCUCACCCUUAGGAGGUUUGCCUUUACUUUCUGACUUAGAGUUUCAGUUGAAAUCAGAGGGCACAGAUUCAUGCUGGAUGGGGUCAUGAUUAAGAGCAAGGGCUUUGAGCUCUGACUCACAGCCCUGCCCUUGCUAGUGGAUUGAUUCCACUUCUCUGAGCCUCAGUUUUCUCAUCUAUAAAAUAGACUUAAUAAUAGCCCCCCACCCCAUAGCACGGUUAGGCAGAUUAAACAGUAAGUUAGGUGUGCAGUGGAGAGUUUAGCAAUAAAAAGAACUUAAGUGGUAGGUUUAGCAUUAUUUUUAUCGAGCAGAGAAAUAAAUACAUCAUAAAAACCUUCUUUAUUUUUAAAAUUCCACCGUAAUACUUGCAUGUUACAUGAGGUCAAACCCUUUGAAAUUGCUAGCAUUCAGUCAGUUUUGACCUAUGAAGCCACAAUAUUUUCCUGUGGUUCAACCUGAUAAAAAGAACUAGAAAUUUCAGAUUGAGAAAAGAGAAAGUGCUCAUAGCAACACCACGCAGAGAUAUACACGAGGGCGCACCCUUCUGACAUCUUGUAUAUAUGUGAAUAAAUAAUGCUGAUGAGAACCAGGAGGGAAGUCUUGCUCAAAUCAGGGUGUCCCUGUUUUUUCAAACUUAAUCUGAUUGGUGAAGGAGGGGUCCAGUUUCCCCAGAGGGCACCAGGAUUAGGACUGGAGCACAUGGACACUGAGUCCCCGCUCACAUCCACUCCGCUUGAGAGAUCUGCUGUUUCUGUAGGACUCUACCAGUAGCAGUAGCCAGGCUGUCCACCAGUCCUGUCCCAAGGGCAGAGUGCUGACUCAACAGGUACACUUGGCUUUGGCCAAUGAGGGCUGUGGCCUUUAUAAGACGUUUCAUCAGCUCCUUAAGAUGAGAUGAAUUGUUGCUUUGACCUUAUAAUUUCCCAACCACUCUGGGUAAUCAGGAUUUGGGCUAGAGCACAAUUACUUACUAGAGUAAAACUGUGCUAAAGUUAAGCCUGCCAUCUCUAUUGUCCCAAGUGUUUCGCCAACAUAAAUAACUCCUCACUAUUUUUAGAAUGGAGACAUAGUAUCAGGCUGUGCACAGCCUAGCAGGGCUCAGCAAGGCCUAUCAAGAGUUUCCUAAAUGUUCUGCAGCUCCUGUUCAGGGCAUAGAAGGAACUGAGAGAAGGGUCUGCUCUUUUUGUCUUCUGGCCCUGGGGCUGAUGAAACUCUCCCCUCUCACCGAUGCAGACACAGCUUAACGAUGUUGCUGUCACUUGCCGUAGACACUCACUUUGUUCCCACCACCCCAAUCAAAGAGUGACCGAGUGAACGUGGCCAUGUAAGAACACUGGCCUAGGAGACAAGACCCCAGGCCCUAACUCUCUUAACUGAGUCAGUGAUUCAGAGCCAGUUACCCAUCUUCUCUGGCCUGUAGUUUCCCAAGAGAAAAUCCAAGGGAUUUGAAUCAGGUGAUCUCUAAGUUUCCUUCUAUUGUUGUUUUCAAGUUUUCUAUACCUGAUAGAAGUCCUUUCUCCUCAUUCACUGAGUCUAGAAACUAGAAACUAGCAAGAAGCUAAAGGUCUAAGGGAGAAUUAGAAAUUAUGGGGGUUUAUUUUGUUCAUUAAAAGCACUCUUGAGAGAAUAAAGAGGCAAGACAGAUUGUAAUUCAUCUAUCUGACAAAGGACAUAUACCCAACAUAUAUAAAGAAUAUAUAUGUUCCCAUAUAUAAAUAUAUAUCUCCUAGGAUUUCCUAGGUGGCACAGUAAUUAAGAAUCUGCCUGCCAAGGCAGGGGACACGGGUUCGAGUCCUGCCCUGGGAAGAUCCCACAUGCUGCAGAGCAACUAAGCCUGUGCGCCACAACUAUUGAGCCCAUGUGCCGCAACUAUUGAGGCUCCAGUGCCUAGAGCCCAUGCUCCACAACAAGAGAAGCCACUACAAUGAGCAGCCUGCACACCACAAUGAAGAGUAGCCCCCACUUGCAGCAACUAGAGAAAGCCCGUGUGCAGCAAUGAAGACCCAAUGCAGCCAAUAAAUUAAAUAAAUAAAUAAAUUUAUUUUUAAAAAAAUUAGGACGGGGGAAAAAAAAGCCUUAAAAAAAAAUGUGUAUAUAUAUAUAUAUAUAUAUAUAUAUAUAUAUAUAUAUAUAUAUCUCCUAUAUAUCAAUGUGCAAAAGGGCAGACAACUCCCAUCCCCGAAAAGGAUUAAAUAUUUUAACCAAAAGAGAUAUAGAAAUAGUCAAUAAAUUUGUGGAAAGGUACUCAUUAGUCACCAACGAAAUACAAAUUAAAACCACAAAGAGGUGCCCUACACACACACCAGAAUGACUGACAUUAAAGAGACUGAUGAGGCAAAGAAUUAAAGCAGGUGUGGAGCAUUUGGGGUUCCAUACACUGCAGAUGGGAGCAGGAAAUGGUCCAACCAUUUUGAAAAUGGUUGGCAGUACCUAUGAAAGCUGAGCAUGUAUAUCACUUAUGACUCAAUAAUUUCAUUGUCUAGGUAUAUACUUAACAGAUAUUCAUACAUAUGUCUCUCAAAAGACUUGUGUUAGAAAGCAGCUAAAAACUGGAAACCACCCAGAUUUCCAUCAAUUGAAGAAUGGAUAAAUAAAUGUGGUGUAUUUAUACAAUGGAACUCUAAACUGUAACGAGAAUGUGCAAAAUGCUUCUAGCAUAACAACUUGGAUGGAUUUCAAAAUAUAAUGAAGAGCAAAAGGAAAGACACAAAAGAGUAGACAUUGUAUUCAUUUAUGUACAUAAAGUUCACUGAGAGGCAAAGCUAACCUCUGCUAUUAGAAGUCAGGGUAGCAGUUUCCCUUGGAAGUAGGUGGUGACUGAAAGGAGACACAAAGGGGCUCCUGAGAUGUUGGUGAUAUUUUGUUUCUUAAUCCGGGUAUUAAUCAUAGAAAUGGGUUCAAUUUGUGAAAAUUAUUGAGCUGUGUGCUUAUUUGUAAUUUUGGGGGUGUGAUGAUACGCCAAUAAAAAAGGUUUUUAAGUUAAAAAAAAAGUUAUAAAUUUCAUGAUAUUUUUCAUAUUCUUUCCCUAAUACCACCAGAGGCUUUUUUUAAACUAUUCUAGCUUCUGUCAACCAUCCUCUCUUCCAAAUUUCCUCUGUCCCAUAUAACCCAGCAUUUAAUAAUGUGCUGGUUUUUCUUUUUCAUGCUUUUCUGAUUUCAUGGAUUUCAUUUUCUUUAAUAUUGCUUUGUCAACUGCAUUGUGAAUUCUAGUACAUGGAAGCUAUGCUUUUUGCCUUUGGACUCAGGCAGAAAGUAAACAAUGGCAAACCUGCCAAUGUUUUCUUCAGAUCCCAUUAUUUAGUGGGCCAAUAUUCCCACACCACACUACAGUCCUCAACCCUGGCUUUUUCUAUAAUUAUCCCAUUUUUUAUAAACCUGUCAGCUGACCUUACCCCUGAACUUCCCAUUUAUAAUAUCUGCAGGAAAACCUGCCCCUUUUUCUCUGGAUCACUCUGACUUCAUCAGUUCAGUUCUGCACAAGUUCAGCAGCUGAUCCAUGCUGGACAUUCUCUGAUGCCCCAGGGAUGGGGAAGUUACGAAACUGAGACCCUGACCCCAAGAGCUCCCUGGAUAGCCAGGGAAGACAGACUCAGAAAUGGAACACAUCUCAUCGACUCAUUAACUACAUGGAAAAGAAGAGGAGAGAAACCCAACCCUGCCAUGGGUGGCUCAGCAAAGGCUUUCAAGGGAAAGAGUCAUCCUAGAAUCUAGUCCUGAAGGGUGAGUAGGGUUAGACCAGAUGAAGACAGAAGAAAGUCCUCCAAGCAGAAGAAACAGCGAGUGUAAAAUCACAGAAUCACAGAACAGCAGAGCAUUCCUGUGCAUGAGGGUGAGUGUGUGUGUAUGUGUGUGUGCAUGUGUGUUUGUGUGUGUGCACAUGUAAGGGAUGAGGGACAAAGCUAUCCUAACCUGUUGGGUAUCUCUGGAUUCUAAGCAGAGGGACAGGGAAGGUUAAAAGUGGGCAGUAUAUGAAGCUAAAGAGAUAAGUAGGGGCUAAAUGAGGGGCCUUAAAUGCUAAGCUGAGGAGCUUGGAGCCAGCAGCUUAGAACAGGGCUUGGCAAACUAUAGCCAGGAGCCAGAUCUGAUCCUCUGCUUGUUUUGUCAAUAAAGUUUUAUUGGAACAUCUACUCACGUAUGCAUCGUCUACGGUUGUUGGUGCACAGCGGUGGCAGUUAAGCAGUUGCUACGGAGACCACACAUCCCAGGCCUUGACGACCCCCAGUGUAGAAGAUGAUGAGCCACUGAGGGGUUUUAAGCAGAGGACUCAAUGUGUGUGAGAAGAAACAGCAUGGACCAGACACAGCCCUGGUCCGUGCUGUAGAAUGGAGACAACAUAUUUGGCUUACGUACCACAGAAGCAUCAUCAAGGACCUUCUCAAGUUGAGCACCGUACUUUCUGAGCCCAGGACUACGCUGAGCUCUUCUCCAGAGAUUGGCUGAUGUAAUGGUACAUGACCAGGGAUGCGACUGGACCCCAGGAGACUGAACAGGAAUUGAACUGAGGUGGAAUCCACCAACCUUGGACUACUGUCCUCCUACACGUGGGUUCAGGUUUAGGGAGCUGCAUGUAACACACGCCUUUCCCCUUUUGAGUUUGGAACCCAGUUGGUAGAAAAUCCUAGGAAUAAAGUGAAUAGAAAUAAAAAUAUCUUUAUUGUUAGUACUUCACCCCUGAAUUAGACAAACUUACUGCCUCAGAAACAAUGGCUGAGCUGACCCACCUCAGGGUUCUCCCUGUGAAGUCUUGUUCCUGAAGGUUCACUUCUGCAAAGAAGCAGUCACAGACACAGACACACUGAA